GGAGGGAUGGCCGAGAGGUCGAAGGCGGCGGUUUGCUAAACCGUAGUACGGUGACAAGCUGUACCGAGGGUUCGAAUCCCUCUCCCUCCGCCA
rnacentral:tRNA from 1 species